rnacentral:rRNA from 1 species
UACGAAGGGUGCAAGCGUUACUCGGAAUUACUGGGCGUAAAGCGUGCGUAGGUGGUUUGUUAAGUCUGCUGUGAAAUCCCCGGGCUCAACCUGGGAAUGGCAGUGGAUACUGGCAAGCUAGAGUGCGGUAGAGGGUAGUGGAAUUCCCGGUGUAGCGGUGAAAUGCGUAGAGAUCGGGAGGAACACCAGUGGCGAAGGCGGCUACCUGGACCAGCACUGACACUGAAGCACGAAAGCGUGGGGAGCAAACAGG